rnacentral:rRNA from 1 species
UACGUAGGAGGCGAGCGUUGUCCGGAAUUACUGGGCGUAAGAGCGCGUAGGCGGCGCUGUACGACCGCUGUGAAAGCCCCCGGCUCAACUGGGGAGGGUCAGCGGUAACGGCGAGUGCUACGAGUGCAGGAGAGGGAAGUGGAACUCCGGGAGUAGCGGUGAAAUGCGUAGAUACCCGGAGGAACACCAGUGGCGAAGGCGGCUUCCUGGUCUGCGACGUGACGCUG